GACGAACGCUGGCGGCGUGCCUAAUACAUGCAAGUAGAACGCUGAAGAGAGGAGCUUGCUCUUCUUGGAUGAGUUGCGAACGGGUGAGUAACGCGUAGGUAACCUGCCUUGUAGCGGGGGAUAACUAUUGGAAACGAUAGCUAAUACCGCAUAACAAUGGAUGACACAUGUCAUUUAUUUGAAAGGGGCAAUUGCUCCACUACAAGAUGGACCUGCGUUGUAUUAGCUAGUAGGUGAGGUAACGGCUCACCUAGGCGACGAUACAUAGCCGACCUGAGAGGGUGAUCGGCCACACUGGGACUGAGACACGGCCCAGACUCCUACGGGAGGCAGCAGUAGGGAAUCUUCGGCAAUGGGGGCAACCCUGACCGAGCAACGCCGCGUGAGUGAAGAAGGUUUUCGGAUCGUAAAGCUCUGUUGUAAGUCAAGAACGAGUGUGAGAGUGGAAAGUUCACACUGUGACGGUAGCUUACCAGAAAGGGACGGCUAACUACGUGCCAGCAGCCGCGGUAAUACGUAGGUCCCGAGCGUUGUCCGGAUUUAUUGGGCGUAAAGCGAGCGCAGGCGGUUUGAUAAGUCUGAAGUUAAAGGCUGUGGCUCAACCAUAGUUUGCCUUGGAAACUGUCAAACUUGAGUGCAGAAGGGGAGAGUGGAAUUCCAUGUGUAGCGGUGAAAUGCGUAGAUAUAUGGAGGAACACCGGUGGCGAAAGCGGCUCUCUGGUCUGUAACUGACGCUGAGGCUCGAAAGCGUGGGGAGCGAACAGGAUUAGAUACCCUGGUAGUCCACGCCGUAAACGAUGAGUGCUAGGUGUUGGAUCCUUUCCGGGACUCAGUGCCGCAGCUAACGCAUUAAGCACUCCGCCUGGGGAGUACGACCGCAAGGUUGAAACUCAAAGGAAUUGACGGGGGCCCGCACAAGCGGUGGAGCAUGUGGUUUAAUUCGAAGCAACGCGAAGAACCUUACCAGGUCUUGACAUCCCGAUGCUAUUUCUAGAGAUAGAAAGUUACUUCGGUACAUCGGUGACAGGUGGUGCAUGGUUGUCGUCAGCUCGUGUCGUGAGAUGUUGGGUUAAGUCCCGCAACGAGCGCAACCCCUAUUGUUAGUUGCCAUCAUUCAGUUGGGCACUCUAGCGAGACUGCCGGUAAUAAACCGGAGGAAGGUGGGGAUGACGUCAAAUCAUCAUGCCCCUUAUGACCUGGGCUACACACGUGCUACAAUGGUUGGUACAACGAGUUGCAAGUCGGUGACGGCAAGCUAAUCUCUUAAAGCCAAUCUCAGUUCGGAUUGUAGGCUGCAACUCGCCUACAUGAAGUCGGAAUCGCUAGUAAUCGCGGAUCAGCACGCCGCGGUGAAUACGUUCCCGGGCCU
rnacentral:rRNA from 1 species